rnacentral:misc_RNA from 1 species
GAUGAAGAACGUAGCGAAAUGCGAUACGUAAUGUGAAUUGCAAAUUCAGUGAAUCAUCGAGUCUUUGAACGCACAUUGCGCCCCCUGGUAUUCCGGGGGGCAUGCCUGUCCGAGCGUCAUUGCUGCCCUCAAGCACGGCUUGUGUGUUGGGCCCCGUCCUCCGAUCCCGGGGGACGGGCCCGAAAGGCAGCGGCGGCACCGCGUCCGGUCCUCGAGCGGAUGGGGCUUUGUCACCCGCUCUGUAGGCCCGGCCGGCGCUUGCCGAUCAACCCAAAUUUUUAUCCAGGUUGACCUCGGAUCAGGUAGGGAUACCCGCUGAACUUAAGCAUAUCAAUAAGCGGAGGA